GACGAACGCUGGCGGCGUGCCUAAUACAUGCAAGUUGAGCGCUGAAGGUUGGUACUUGUACCAACUGGAUGAGCAGCGAACGGGUGAGUAACGCGUGGGGAAUCUGCCUUUAAGCGGGGGACAACAUUUGGAAACGAAUGCUAAUACCGCAUAAAAACUUUAAACACAAGUUUUAAGUUUGAAAGAUGCAAUUGCAUCACUCAAAGAUGAUCCCGCGUUGUAUUAGCUAGUUGGUGAGGUAAAGGCUCACCAAGGCGAUGAUACAUAGCCGACCUGAGAGGGUGGUCGGCCACAUUGGGACUGAGACACGGCCCAAACUCCUACGGGAGGCAGCAGUAGGGAAUCUUCGGCAAUGGACGAAAGUCUGACCGAGCAACGCCGCGUGAGUGAAGAAGGUUUUCGGAUCGUAAAACUCUGUUGGUAGAGAAGAACGUUGGUGGGAGUGGAAAGCUCAUCAAGUGACGGUAACUACCCAGAAAGGGACGGCUAACUACGUG
rnacentral:rRNA from 1 species